CGCCUCCCGAGUUCAACUCGCCUCCCCAGCCGGCCAGGUCGAUCGUACGGCCAUCCACAAAGAACAAGCGCCCUUUGCGCUUCUUACGAUCUGUUGCACACACGUCGCCGUCAUAGAUCACCGUGCCGUCUUGGGCCAUGAGUCGGCCUGCCACGGGUUGAAACCUGCUCACCUCGCCGGCAAAGGCGACCGUGCCGUCGACGGUGCGCGCGACCCCCAUUGUCGCGCCCCUGUCGCCCAUGCCUCCCCCAGUGCCCACGCCGGCAUUCGGGUGGUCUUUGUGGGCGACGACGCUCCACUUGCGGUUUCCACAUUCCACCACUGACGGCGCAUGGCAGGAGGGCUGAGGGUAAUUGUAGUCGGGUCCGAUAAGGAUGCCGAUUCCGUGUGGACACCCGCCUGCCCAUGGACCCUGAUAGAAUCCCACACAUUGGUUGCGAUAGUCGGUCGGAGGCCGAGGGUCACAGUCGCGUGGACUGCACCACGCAACGGCGCGCCCGGCCAGGCGGCCGUGCGCCCAUUGUCCGCUGGGGCUGUGCGCCACGAUGGUGCGAUCUGUGGUCGACCCUGGCGGCAGAAACUGUAUGGCGUCGGCCGUAGCGUAACCGUGCGCCACGUGUGUAUCGCGUCUUCCAUCGGCGAGGUCGCCGCGGUAGAUGGUGUUGAGCGAGCACGAGCGUCCGACGAGGCACGAUGGUGAGCCGUCCAGGUGUGGUCCAAAGAAUCGUGGUCGGCUCACGGUGGCCACGGCAUAGGCCCAGCGGUAGCCGCGCGCAGUGAUGACAUCGGGCCAGUGAUGGUGGCACGACAAAAGUGCGGGGUUGUGAAUUCGGCCCAACCCCGAGACCGACUCUGGCAAGGGAAGCACACAGCCCGUGGUCGUCUUGGUCGGGUCGAGCAUGAGAUCCAAACCUCGGUCGACGAGAGCCGCAAUGUCCAAACCGGCGACGCUUUUGCCCAGUGUUGCGAUGCAACCGCGGCCACAGGACGGAAAGGCCGUAUCGUAGAUGUCCUUCCACAGGCGCUCGUCGAGGGCGAGACGGCGGAGGCGCCAGUCGACCGCGCUUAAUGUGGCCAAGUCGGCGGGCGUACACCAGGAGAGGAUGGCCAUCGCAUGCUCAUCGGCCAAUAGGCCCCAUACAUUGAUGCCAGCCACCGCUGGACUCGCUAGGUCAUCUGUGCGGCGCCUUUUGUUCCCACGCACGUUGGCAUUGUUCGAGUCCAUUGUUGGUGUGGGUUCUAGUGUCCUCGCUGUAUGCUGGGCGCAAGCGGGCCGACACUGCACGGUGCCUCGUGCAAAACACGGAUUGGUUGCCAAUAGACAGAAAAAAAGGACCAAUCGGCAAUAAAUAACGUCCACCAAACCCAAAAGGAAAUCAACGGUGUAUGAAAAAAAAGGCAAAAGGAGUCGACUAAAAAGGGGGCCACCAAGAUU
rnacentral:lncRNA from 1 species